CCUACGGGCGGCAGCAGUGGGGAAUAUUGGACAAUGGGGGGAACCCUGAUCCAGCCAUGCCGCGUGUGUGAAGAAGGCCCUCGGGUUGUAAAGCACUUUCAGUGAGGAAGAACGCCUGGUGGUUAAUACCCAUCAGGAAAGACAUCACUCACAGAAGAAGCACCGGCUAACUCCGUGCCAGCAGCCGCGGUAAUACGGAGGGUGCGAGCGUUAAUCGGAAUUACUGGGCGUAAAGCGCGCGUAGGUGGCUUGAUAAGCCGGUUGUGAAAGCCCCGGGCUCAACCUGGGAACGGCAUCCGGAACUGUCAAGCUAGGGUGCAGGAGAGGAAGGUAGAAUUCCCGGUGUAGCGGUGAAAUGCGUAGAGAUCGGGAGGAAUACCAGUGGCGAAGGCGGCCUUCUGGACUGACACUGACACUGAGGUGCGAAAGCGUGGGUAGCAAACAGGAUUAGAUACCCCUGUAGUC
rnacentral:rRNA from 1 species